rnacentral:rRNA from 1 species
UACGGAGGAUGCAAGCGUUAUCCGGAAUGAUUGGGCGUAAAGUGUCCGCAGGUGGCAAUGUAAGUCUGCUGUCAAAGCGUCUGGCUCAACCAGAUAAAGGCAGUGGAAACUACAUAGCUAGAGUAAGGUAGGGGUAGAGGGAAUUCCUGGUGUAGCGGUGAAAUGCGUAGAGAUCAGGAAGAACACCGGUGGCGAAAGCGCUCUGCUGGACCUUAACUGACACUGAGGGACGAAAGCUAGGGGAGCGAAUGGG